rfam:Asian citrus Psyllid, Diaphorina citri - Florida Strain, whole genome shotgun sequence.
ACCGGCCCGGCGAUGGGACGUUGAAUGCAACAGUUCCUCAUGAAUCACUGGAGUUGAGCAACGUUGCGCGUGGUCAGUACCCGGAAGGGUGACCAUCUGGACAAUCGUGUGCCGCUUGCU